rnacentral:misc_RNA from 1 species
GUUAGAGCGCGCGCUUGAUAAGCGUGAGGUCGGAGGUUCAAGUCCUCCCAGGCCCACCAAUUUUUCCAUUAUUUUCAUAAGUGCUUUUGAAAAAUAAGUACUUCUAAAAUAUCGCUUCUAAAAAUUGGCAUGCUUGUUGCUUUUGUGUGUGUGAUCCAAAGUUAAAGCAGUUUAAUGGUAAAAAAAGCAGUUCAAAUGCUAAAAUGCUAAAAGGUCAAAAUUUUGGGAAAGUGAUUUUUGCAGUGUCUAUUUGGUUGAUGUAAAUUUCGAAUAGUCAUGGACGUAAAUGCCCAUAUAAAACAUAUCGGUUAAAUUAUAUCACUUUGGGUCAUACGUUAUAAUACCUCCUUUAAUCGUUUUACCUGUUUUAGGGGCCGUAGCUCAGCUGGGAGAGCACCUGCUUUGCAAGCAGGGGGUCGUCGGUUC